GAAUGAAGACCAGCUUGUACAGGUUCUAACAGAGCCUAGGAGUGCAUUGGGCAAACAGUACAAGAAGUUGUUUCGCAUGAACAAUGUCCAAUUACAUUUUACUGAAGGUGCAACGAGGCUUAUCGCGAGAAAGGCUAUGUCAAAGAACACAGGUGCACGUGGCUUACGGUCUAUACUUGAAAGUAUCCUCACAGAAGCAAUGUUCGAGGUACCAGAUAGCAAGUCAGAAGGAUCACAGAGUAUAAAGGCGGUCUUGGUGGAU